rnacentral:rRNA from 1 species
UACGUAGGGUGCAAGCGUUGUCCGGAAUUAUUGGGCGUAAAGAGCUCGUAGGCGGUUUGUCGCGUCGAAUGUGAAAACCCGGGGCUCAACCCCGGGCCUGCAUUCGAUACGGGCAGACUAGAGUUCGGUAGGGGAGUCUGGAAUUCCUGGUGUAGCGGUGAAAUGCGCAGAUAUCAGGAGGAACACCGGUGGCGAAGGCGGGACUCUGGGCCGAUACUGACGCUGAGGAGCGAAAGCCAGGGGAGCGAACGGG